AUUGAACGCUGGCGGCAUGCUUUACACAUGCAAGUCGAACGGCAGCGCGGGCUUCGGCCUGGCGGCGAGUGGCGAACGGGAGAGUAAUGCAUCGGAACGUGCCCAGUAGUGGGGGAUAGCCCGGCGAAAGCCGGAUUAAUACCGCAUACGACCUGAGGGUGAAAGCGGGGGACCGAAAGGCCUCGCGCUAUUGGGGCGGCCGAUGUCGGAUUAGCUAGUUGGUGGGGUAAAGGCUUACCAAGGCGACGAUCCGUAGCUGGUCUGAGAGGACGACCAGCCACACUGGGACUGAGACACGGCCCAGACUCCUACGGGAGGCAGCAGUGGGGAAUUUUGGACAAUGGGGGCAACCCUGAUCCAGCCAUGCCGCGUGCGGGAAGAAGGCCUUCGGGUUGUAAACCGCUUUUGUUCGGGAAGAAAUCCUCUGGGCUAAUACCCCGGGGGGAUGACGGUACCGGAAGAAUAAGCACCGGCUAACUACGUG
rnacentral:rRNA from 1 species